rnacentral:rRNA from 1 species
UACGAAGGGGGCUAGCGUUGUUCGGAAUUACUGGGCGUAAAGGGCGCGUAGGCGGCGUAUCAAGUUAGGCGUGAAAGCCCCGGGCUCAACCUGGGAAUUGCGCUUGAUACUGGUAUGCUUGAGUUCGGGAGAGGAGAGUGGAAUUCCCAGUGUAGAGGUGAAAUUCGUAGAUAUUGGGAAGAACACCGGUGGCGAAGGCGGCUCUCUGGACCGAUACUGACGCUGAGGCGCGAAAGCGUGGGGAGCAAACAGG